rnacentral:rRNA from 1 species
GAUGAACGCUGGCGGCGUGCCUAAUACAUGCAAGUCGAGCGAACGGACGAGAAGCUUGCUUCUCUGAUGUUAGCGGCGGGCGGGUGAGUAACACGUGGAUAACCUACCUAUAAGACUGGGAUAACUUCGGGAAACCGGAGCUAAUCCCGGAUGAUAUUUUGAACCGCAUGGUUCAAAAGUGAAAGACGGUCUUGCUGUCACUUAUAGAUGGAUCCGCGCUGCAUUAGCUAGUUGGUAAGGUAACGGCUUACCAAGGCAACGAUGCAUAGCCGACCUGAGAGAGUGAUCGGCCACACUGGAACUGAGACACGGUCCAGACUCCUACGGGAGGCAGCAGUAGGGAAUCUUCCGCAAUGGGCGAAAGCCUGACGGAGCAACGCCGCGUGAGUGAUGAAGGUCUUCGGAUCGUAAAACUCUGUUAUUAGGGAAGAACAUAUGUGUAAGUAACUGUGCACAUCUUGACGGUACCUAAUCAGAAAGCCACGGCUAACUACGUG